rnacentral:rRNA from 1 species
UUUUUUUUUCGGAAACGGAAUGAGAACAAUGAGGUGGUGAGAUAUAAAGCAAGGCUCGUAGCACAAGGUUUCACGCAGAAACCCGACAUUGAUUUCACUGAAACAUAUUCUCCAGUAAUGAGUGCAACCACUUUCCGAUAUCUUAUAUCCUUGGCAGUGCAAAAUCGUCUAUCUAUGCAGUUGAUGGACGUCGUGACCGCAUACCUUUACGGGUCACUAGAUUUGGACAUAUAUAUGAAGGUUCCUGGUGGAAUCUCUGUCCUGAAUAAAAAUGCAAAACGCAACAUGUAUUGUGUAAAGCUGAAUAAGUCAUUAUAUGGCUUAAGGCAGUCGGGACAGAUGUGGUACAACCGACUCAGUGAGUUCCUUCUUCAGAAAGGAUACUCCAAUAGUGUUGAUUGCCCAUGUGUUUUCAUCAAGAAGUCCUCUACAGGAUUUUGCAUCAUUUCUGUGUAUGUUGAUGAUCUCAACAUCAUCGGCAGCACA